rnacentral:rRNA from 1 species
UACGUAGGAGGCAAGCGUUGUCCGGAAUUACUGGGCGUAAAGCGCGUGUAGGUGGUGGGACAAGUCUGCUGUGAAAGCGCCUGGCUUAACCGGGCGAGGUCGGCGGAAACUGUCCGACUCGAGGACGGUAGAGGGGGGUGGAAUUCCCGGUGUAGUGGUGAAAUGCGCAGAUAUCAGGAAGAACACCCGUGGCGAAAGCGGCUCUCUGGAACGGUACUGACGCUGAGACGCGAAAGCGUGGGGAGCGAACAGG